rnacentral:rRNA from 1 species
UGGGGAAUAUUGCACAAUGGGCGCAAGCCUGAUGCAGCCAUGCCGCGUGUAUGAAGAAGGCCUUCGGGUUGUAAAGUACUUUCAGCGAGGAGGAAGGCGUUGUGGUUAAUAACCGCAACGAUUGACGUUACUCGCAGAAGAAGCACCGGCUAACUCCGUGCCAGCAGCCGCGGUAAUACGGAGGGUGCAAGCGUUAAUCGGAAUUACUGGGCGUAAAGCGCACGCAGGCGGUCUGUCAAGUCGGAUGUGAAAUCCCCGGGCUCAACCUGGGAACUGCAUCCGAAACUGGCAGGCUAGAGUCUUGUAGAGGGGGGUAGAAUUCCGGGUGUAGCGGUGAAAUGCGUAGAGAUCUGGAGGAAUACCGGUGGCGAAGGCGGCCCCCUGGACAAAGACUGACGCUCAGGUGCGAAAGCGUGGGGAGCAAACA